rnacentral:rRNA from 1 species
AGUGAACGCUGGCGGCAUGCCUAACACAUGCAAGUCGAACGGCAGCACAGUAAGAGCUUGCUCUUAGGGGUGGAGAGCGGCGGAAGGGUGCGGAAUGCACCGGAUACUACUUUGUCGGGGGGGAUAACGUAGGGUAAUGUCUGCUAAUACCGCAUUCAUCGUCCGGGGGAAAGCAGGGGUUCGUUGGACUUUUCGGGAUUGUAUGAGCCGAUGUCGGAUUAGGUAGAUGGCGGGGCUGAGGCCAACCAAGGCGACGAUCCGUAGCUGGUCUGAGAGGGUGAUCAGCCACACUGGAACAGAGACACGGUCCAGACUCCUACGGGAGGCAGCAGUGGAGAAUAUUAGGCGAGGGGCGCGAGCCUGAUCCAGGCAUACCGCGGGGGUGAAGAAGGCCUUCGGGUUGUAAAGCCCUUUUGUUGGGAAAGAAAAGCAGCUGGUUUACACCCCGCUGUUCUGACGGUACCCAAAGAAUAAGCACCGGCUAACUUCGUG